rnacentral:rRNA from 1 species
UGCAGUCGAGCGGAUGAAGGGAGCUUGCUCCUUGAUUCAACGGCGGACGGGUGAGUAAUGCCUAGGAAUCUGCCUGGUAGUGGGGGACAACGUUUCGAAAGGAACGCUAAUACCGCAUACGUCCUACGGGAGAAAGCAGGGGACCUUCGGGCCUUGCGCUAUCAGAUGAGCCUAGGUCGGAUUAGCUAGUUGGUGGGGUAAAGGCCUACCAAGGCGACGAUCCGUAACUGGUCUGAGAGGAUGAUCAGUCACACUGGAACUGAGACACGGUCCAGACUCCUACGGGAGGCAGCAGUGGGGAAUAUUGGACAAUGGGCGAGAGCCUGAUCCAGCCAUGCCGCGUGUGUGAAGAAGGUCUUCGGAUUGUAAAGCACUUUAAGUUGGGAGGAAGGGCAGUAAGUUAAUACCUUGCUGUUUUGACGUUACCAACAGAAUAAGCACCGGCUAACUUCGUGCCAGCAGCCGCGGUAAUACGAAUGGUGCAAGCGUUAAUCGGAAUUACUGGGCGUAAAGCGCGCGUAGGUGGUUUGGUAAGAUGGAUGUGAAAUCCCCGGGCUCAACCUGGGAACUGCAUCCAUAACUGCCUGGCUAGAGUACGGUACAGGGUGGUGGAAUUUCCUGUGUAGCGGUGAAAUGCGUACAUAUAGGAAGGAACACCAGUGGCGAAGGCGACCACCUGGACUGAUACUGACACUGAGGUGCGAUAGCGUGUGGAGCAGACAGGAUUAGAUACUCUGGUAGUCCACGCCGUAAACGAUGUCGACUAGCCGUUGGGAUCCUUGAGAUCUUAGUGGCGCAGCUAACGCGAUAAGUCGACCGCCUGGGGAGUACGGCCGCAAGGUUAAGACUCAAAUGAAUUGACGGGGGCCCGCACAAGCGGUGGAGCAUGUGGUUUAAUUCGAAGCAACGCGAAGAACCUUACCUGGCCUUGACAUGUCCGGAACCUUGCAUAGAUGCGAGAGUGCCUUCGGGAAUCGAAACACAGGUGCUGCAUGGCUGUCGUCACCUCGUGUCGUGAGAUGUUGG